UCCCUCUCAGGAUCACAUCUGGAGAGUUUCCAGUACUCUGCCAUUCUCAACUACAGGAGGGAAAGUCAAGCAGAGGCAUACCCCUUCCAUUCCUAACUUGGUCAGUGGCUAGUGAGUGGAAGGUAAUCUGCGACAAAU